CGCACAUUGCGCCCUUUGGUAUUCCGAAGGGCACAUCUGUUCGAGCGUCAUUACACCUAAUCAAGUUUAACUUGGUAAUUGAAUGGACAUAUUUGUCUUGAAAUACAGACACAUUCAAAAGAUAUUUAGCAGUACCUAAUAGGUCUCAAGCGUAACAAAUUGAAAUCGUUUGUCAGACUCUGUUGGAACUUGCACUUCUACAUACAUUUUAAGGUUGACCUCGAAUCAGAUGGGGAUACCCGCUGAACUUAA
rnacentral:misc_RNA from 1 species